rnacentral:pre_miRNA from 1 species
UUUGGGGGAACAUUCAACCCGUCGGUGAGUUUGGUGGCUCAAGGCAAACCAUCGAGGUUGAGUGGACCCUGAGA